rnacentral:rRNA from 1 species
UACGUAGGGUCCGAGCGUUGUCCGGAUUUAUUGGGCGUAAAGAGCGUGUAGGCGGCCAGAUAAGUCCGCUGUGAAAUCUCGAGGCUCAACUUCGAGCUGUCGGUGGAAACUGUCUGGCUAGAGUCCGGAAGAGGAGAAUGGAAUUCCUGGUGUAGCGGUGAAAUGCGCAGAUAUCAGGAGGAACACCGGUGGCGAAGGCGGGAUCCUGGGCCAGUACUGACGCUGAGGAGCGAAAGCGUGGGGAGCGAACAGG